GAUGAACGCUGGCGGCGUGCCUAAUACAUGCAAGUCGAGCGAACAGACGAGGAGCUUGCUCCUCUGACGUUAGCGGCGGACGGGUGAUUAACACGUGGAUACCCUACCUAUAAGACUGGGAUAACUUCGGUAAACCUGAUCUAAUACCGGAUAAUAUAUUGAACCGCAUGGUUCAAUAGUGAAAGACGGUUUUGCUGUCACUUAUAGAUGGAUCCGCGCCGCAUUAGCUAGUUGGUAAGGUAACGGCUUACCAAGGCGACGAUGCGUAGCCGACCUGAGAGGGUGAUCGGCCACACUGGAACUGAGACACGGUCCAGACUCCUACGGGAGGCAGCAGUAGGGAAUCUUCCGCAAUGGGCGAAAGCCUGACGGAGCAACGCCGCGUGAGUGAUGAAGGUCUUCGGAUCGUAAAACGCUGUUAUUGGGGAAGAAAAAAUGUGGAAGUAACUAUGCACGUCUUGACGGUACCGAAUCAGAAAGCCACGGCUAACUACGUG
rnacentral:rRNA from 1 species